rnacentral:rRNA from 1 species
UCGCCUGUUUUUAUCAAAAACAUAACCUUUAGCUAAACAAAUAUUAAAGGCAACGCCUGCCCAGUGAACAAUUAAACGGCCGCGGUACCCUAACCGUGCAAAGGUAGCGUAAUCACUUGUCUAUUAAUUGUAGACCAGUAUGAAAGGCAAAAUGAGGAUCUAUCUGUCUCUUACAAUAAAUCAAUUAAACUGAUCUCCUAGUAAAAAAGCUAGAAUCCACUCAUAAGACCAGAAGACCCUGUGAAGCUUAAACUAAACUAUUAAACCCUAUAAUACCUACUUUCGGUUGGGGCGACCUUGGAAAAAAAAAGAACUUCCAAACAUAUGACCACACUCAUACACAGGCCCACAAGCCUCAUAAUGACCCAGUACAACUGAUAAUUGAACCAAGUUACUCCAGGGAUAACAGCGCCAUCUUCUUCAAGAGUCCAUAUCAAAAAGAAGGUUUACGACCUCGAUGUUGGAUCAGGACAUCCUAAUGGUGCAGCCGCUAUUAAGGGUUCGUUUGUUCAACGAUUAAUAGUCCUACGUGAUCUGAGUUCCAGACCGG